UGAUGUUUAUUUUAUACCUGCUGGCGUGGCCCUCCUCUAAGUCUUCUCCUCUGUUCUGUUCUGUUCUGUUCUGUUCUGUUCUGUUCUCCUCUGUUCUGUUCUCCUCUGUUCUGUUCUGUUCUGUUCUGUUCUCCUCUGUUCUGUUCUGUUCUGUUCUGUUCUCCUCUGUUCUGUUCUGUUCUGUUCUGCUCUGUUCUGUUCUGUUCUGUUCUGUUCUCCUCUGUUCUCCUCUGUUCUGUUCUGUUCUGUUCUGUUCUCCUCUGUUCUGUUCUGUUCUGUUCUGUUCUCCUCGGUUCUGUUCUGUUCUGUUCUGUUCUGUUCUCCUCUGUUCUGUUCUCCUCUGUUCUGUUCUGUUCUCCUCGGUUCUGUUCUGUUCUGUUCUGUUCUGUUCUCCUCUGUUCUGUUCUGUUCUGUUCUGUUCUGUUCUCCUCUGUUCUGUUCUGUUCUGUUCUCCUCUGUUCUGUUCUGUUCUGUUCUCCUCUGUUCUGUUCUGUUCUCCUCGGUUCUGUUCUGUUCUCCUCUGUUCUGUUCUGUUCUGUUCUGUUCUGUUCUGUUCUGUUCUCCUCUGUUCUGUUCUGUUCUGUUCUGUUCUGUUCUCCUCUGUUCUGUUCUGUUCUCCUCGGUUCUGUUCUGUUCUCCUCUGUUCUGUUCUGUUCUGUUCUGUUCUGUUCUCCUCGGUUCUGUUCUGUUCUCCUCUGUUCUGGACUCCUCUGUUCUGUUCUCCUCUGUUCUGUUCUGUUCUCCUCUGUUCUGUUCUCCUCUGUUCUGUUCUGUUCUGUUCUCCUCUGUUCUGUUCUGUUCUGUUCUGUUCUGUUCUGUUCUCCUCUGUUCUCCUCUGUUCUGUUCUGCUCUGUUCUGUUCUGUUCUCCUCUGUUCUGUUCUCCUCUGUUCUGUUCUGUUCUGUUCUGUUCUGUUCUGUCCUGUUCUGUUCUGUUCUGUUCUCCUCUGUUCUGUUCUGUUCUGUUCUGUUCUGUUCUGUUCUCCUCUGUUCUGUUCUGUUCUGUUCUGUUCUGUUCUGUCCUGUUCUGUUCUGUUCUGUUCUCCUCUGUUCUGUUCUGUUCUGUUCUGUUCUGUUCUCCUCUGUUCUGUUCCCCUCUGUUCUGUUCUCCUCUGUUCUGUUCUGUUCUGUUCUCCUCUGUUCUGUUCUGUUCUCAUCUGUUCUGUUCUGUUCUGUUCUGUUCUCCUCUGUUCUCCUCUGUUCUGUUCUCCUCUGUUCUGUUCUGUUCUGUUCUGUUCUGUUCUCCUCUGUUCUCCUCUGUUCUGUUCUGUUCUGUUCUGUUCUGUUCUCCUCUGUUCUGUUCUCCUCGGUUCUGUUCUGUUCUGUUCUCCUCUGUUCUCCUCGGUUCUGUUCUGUUCUGUUCUGUUCUGUUCUCCUCUGUUCUGUUCUGUUCUCCUCUGUUCUGUUCUGUUCUGUUCUGUUCUGUUCUGUUCUCCUCUGUUCUGUUCUGUUCUGUUCUGUUCUCCUCUGUUCUGUUGCGGCGCUGCUCGUGCUGCCUGACGUAUCAGCAUAUCUGCUCAAUCUGGUCCCUCUUCUUUCCUCACCUCUCUCUCUCUCUGUCUCUCUGUCUCUCUGUCUCUACCGCUCUCUCAUUCUCAUUCUCUGUCUCUACCGCUCUCUCAUUCUCUGUCUCAGUAUCUCUCCUCUGUAUCUAUCCCUCAUGUUCUUGUUCUUCAUAUUAAAGGCCUCUUAUUUUGAAUUGAAUUGAAUGUUGUGUCUUGCUCAAGCUGGCUUUCUGUACUUUAUCUAUUUAUCCAUCCAUACCUUCGCUUUAGACUUCCCAUCCCUUCAUCCAUCCAUCCAUCCAUCAAUCAAUGUCUUCUUCAGUAUUCAUCUAUCAAACAUUUUCCCCUUGUGACUAUCUUAUGAAAGUCAGGUCAAGGUCAAUGAGUCAUUCUUCCCUCCCUCCACUCUUGCAUCUAUCUCCAUGCCAACACCAUAUAGACUG
ensembl:lncRNA